rnacentral:rRNA from 1 species
AUUGAACGCUGGCGGCAUGCCUUACACAUGCAAGUCGAACGGUAACAGGGAGCUUGCUCCGCUGACGAGUGGCGAACGGGUGAGUAAUGCAUCGGAACGUACCCAGUAGUGGGGGAUAACGCAGCGAAAGCUGUGCUAAUACCGCAUACGCACUGAGGUGGAAAGCAGGGGACCUUCGGGCCUUGUGCUAUUGGAGCGGCCGAUGUCAGAUUAGCUAGUUGGUGGGGUAAAAGCUCACCAAGGCGACGAUCUGUAGCUGGUCUGAGAGGAUGAUCAGCCACACUGGGACUGAGACACGGCCCAGACUCCUACGGGAGGCAGCAGUGGGGAAUUUUGGACAAUGGGGGCAACCCUGAUCCAGCCAUGCCGCGUGAGUGAAGAAGGCCUUCGGGUUGUAAAGCUCUUUCGGCCGGGAAGAAAUCGCCAUCUCUAAUAUAGGUGGUGGAUGACGGUACCGGAAUAAGAAGCACCGGCUAACUACGUGCCAGCCGCCGCAGUAA